CCUCAAAUCAGGUAGGACUACCCGCUGAACUUAAGCAUAUCAAUAAGCGGAGGAAAAGAAACUAACAAGGAUUCCCCUAGUAACUGCGAGUGAAGCGGGAAAAGCUCAAAUUUAAAAUCUGGCAGUCUUUGGCUGUCCGAGUUGUAAUCUAGAGAAGUGCUAUCCGCGUUGGACCAUGUACAAGUCUCCUGGAAUGGAGCAUCAUAGAGGGUGAGAAUCCCGUCUUUGACAUGGACUACCAGUGCUUUGUGAUGUGCUCUCAAAGAGUCGAGUUGUUUGGGAAUGCAGCUCAAAAUGGGUGGUAAAUUCCAUCUAAAGCUAAAUAUUGGCGAGAGACCGAUAGCGAACAAGUACCGUGAGGGAAAGAUGAAAAGAACUUUGGAAAGAGAGUUAAACAGUACGUGAAAUUGCUGAAAGGGAAACGCUUGAAGUCAGUCACAUUGGCUAGAAAUCAACCUUGCUUUUGCUGGGCGUACUUUCUAGUUAAUGGGUCAGCAUCAAUUUUGACCAUUGGAAAAAGUUCAAGGGAAUGUGGCAUCUUCGGAUGUGUUAUAGCCUUUGUUCGCAUACAAUGGUUGGGAUUGAGGAUCUCAGCACGCCGCAAGGCCGGGUUUCGACCACGUUCGUGCUUAGGAUGCUGGCAUAAU
rnacentral:rRNA from 1 species